rnacentral:rRNA from 1 species
UUUAUGGAGAGUUUGAUCCUGGCUCAGGACGAACGCUGGCGGCGUGCCUAAUACAUGCAAGUCGAGCGAACCA